rnacentral:rRNA from 1 species
CCUACGGGUGGCAGCAGUGGGGAAUAUUGGACAAUGGGCGAAACCCUGAUCCAGCGACGCCGCGUGAGUGAAGAAGUAUUUCGGUACGUAAAGCUCUAUCAGCAGGAAAGAAAAUGACGGUACCUGUCAAAGCAGCGCUGGCUAACUACGUGACAGCAGCCGCGGGAAAACGCAGGGGGCAAGCGUUAUCCGGAUGUACUGGGUGUAAAGGGAGCGUAGACGGCAGUGCAAGUCGGGAGUGAAAUGCCGGGGCCCAACCCCGGAACUGCUCUGGAAACUGGGAGGCUGGAGUGCAGGAGAGGCAGGCGGAAUUCCUGGUGUAGCGGUGAAAUGCGUAGAUAUCAGGAGGAAUACCGGCGGCGAAGGCGGCUUACUGGACAAUGACUGACGUUGAGGUGCGAAGGCGUGGGGAGCAAACAGGAUUAGAUACCCGAGUAGUC